ACUCCUACGGGAGGCAGCAGUGGGGAAUAUUGCACAAUGGGGGAAAGCCCUCGAUGCAGCCAUGCCGCGUGUGUGAAGAAGGCCUUCGGGUUGUAAAGCACUUUCAGUUGUGAGGAAAGGUUAGUCGCUAAUAUCGGCUAGCUGUGACGUUAGCAACAGAAGAAGCACCGGCUAACUCCGUGCCAGCAGCCGCGGUAAUACGGAGGGUGCGAGCGUUAAUCGGAAUUACUGGGCGUAAAGCGCGUGUAGGUGGCUUGUUAAGCCAGAUGUGAAAGCCCCGGGCUCAAGCCUGGGAACUGGCAUUUGGAACUGGCAGGUCUAGAG
rnacentral:rRNA from 1 species